rnacentral:piRNA from 1 species
ACCGUUUCCUGGUUGUGGCCGUUC